rnacentral:rRNA from 1 species
GAUGAACGCUGGCGGCGUGCCUAAUACAUGCAAGUCGAGCGAAUGGAUUAAGAGCUUGCUCUUAUGAAGUUAGCGGCGGACGGGUGAGUAACACGUGGGUAACCUGCCCAUAAGACUGGGAUAACUCCGGGAAACCGGGGCUAAUACCGGAUAACAUUUUGAACCGCAUGGUUCGAAAUUGAAAGGCGGCUUCGGCUGUCACUUAUGGAUGGACCCGCGUCGCAUUGGCUAGUUGGUGAGGUAACGGCCCACCAAGGCAACGAUCCGUAGCCGGCCUGGGAGGGUGGUCGGCCACACUGGGACUGAGACACGGCCCAGACUCCUACUGGAGGCAGCAGUAGGGAAUCUUCCGCAAUGGACGAAAGUCUGACGGAGCAACGCCGCGUGAGCGAUGAAGGCCUUCGGGUCGUAAAGCUCUGUUGUUAGGGAAGAACACGUACGAGAGUAACUGCUCGUACCUUGACGGUACCUAACCAGAAAGCCACGGCUAACUACGUGCCAGCCGCCGCAGUAA